ensembl:lncRNA
ACUAAGUGACUAAUGGGUGGGAAUGGAAAAGGUUGGACAAAAAGAUGAAUCACCGUCUGGGUGGAUUUACCUCCUAGAGGCUGUUGGCAGUACCUCGAGGUUAGAAGGAAGCAAAUGCCACCAAGAGCCUGCAAGUAAGUGGGACCAGCACUUGGCCCUGCUGCUCGACCCGAAGCCUAGCUCUUCACACGGGGGCUCUCCCCCCGACGGAGCCCAAGAGCAGCUCUACAGAGCAACAGAAAAAGUUCACCCCCUGAGGACAAAAAGUAGACCUUCAGACUUCUCUGCAAACCUCCAGAACUCAGCUAAACAUAGAGCAGGGGCAGCUGGUUUAUGAUGCUUCACAGGUGAUGAGAAAAAAUAUCCCCAACCUGGCCGGGAGAUGCCGCGCAGCCCUAAGGGACAGAGCACUGAGAACGGAACCGGAGACUCCUGCCCUUGCAGCUCUCCUUGCAGCCUGCUAGACAAGAGAAAGAGAGGAGACAUCCAGACAGGUACGAAGUUCACCUGCCCAAGCUGACAAGACUUGCUGCUUUUAGACCAGUCUCUCAGCUGCCUUUGUACAGACUCGUUGCCUUCCAAGGAGGCCAGGACACACCUUGCUGGCUCACCACCAGACUUAUGUUAAGGUCACUCGCCAGAUGUACUCAUGGGCUCUCCAAAGGGCCAGAUAAAAUCCCAGUGGGUUUUGGAGGUAUCCUAUAGUCUCCCUUCUGCCUCUUUUAAACCUUCUCUGGCCGUGCCAAUAAUGGCAGAGAAGACAGGUGGCAAGAGAGUGGUUCUGGAGUCAGGCGGAGCUGGAUUCAAAUCCUGCCUCUUCUUUUAUUUGGCUGAGUAAACUUGAACAAAUACUCACCUCUCUAAGUCUUGGUUUCCUCAUUUGAAAAACUCCAAUGAUAAUAAAUAUCUAUUUUGUAGGAUUGUCAUGAAUCAAUGUAAUGAAUUUAAUGAGGUAAUUAGUUAACGAUGAAAUUAAUAAAAUAAUGCAAUGAAUUUAAUAAAUUAAUGUAAUAAAUUUUAAAAUACAAUGUAAAAAUAUAC